rnacentral:lncRNA from 10 species
CUCUCCAGCCCCCUCGCUCCACCGUUGCCGCUAGGGGAAGACACCCCGACAGCACUCGGAUAUCGCGCGCGGGACAUGGGGUCCCAGGCCGAGCGUGACCGGCAGCCUCCGCGCGCCGUGCUCAUCUGCAUACGCCACGCCCUUGCCGGGGUCGUCCCCGGCGCUCCGGUCUCUCCCGCUCCCGGACCGGGGACCUACCGACGGCGUGGGACAGGCCUGGGUGUCUCCGGGGCUGGUUGGGCGCAAGUGGGCGCGCGGCCGGGAGUCUGGGACCUGAAAGGGAGGCCUGAGAGGACGAGAGAGUGCCAGAGAGAGAGAGAGAGACAGUGACAGAGAGAAGAGAGAGACAGAAAGACAGUGACAGAGAGAAGAGAGAGAGAGAGACAGGAGAGAGGGGAGAGAGAAGACAGAGAGAGAGAGAGAGAGAGAGAGACAGUGACAGAGGGAAGAUAGAGAGAGAGAGAAGGAAGAAAAGAGGGGGAGAGAGAGCGAGCGAGCGAGCGAGCGAGCGAAAGAGAGUUUGCGGCCCCACCGCCCAGUCCCCAAGGGAUCUAGCGUCUGGGCCGGGCAGGGCUCGGGUUUGGGCUCACCUUCCUUUCAGCAAAAAGCAAGUUUCGGCCCCUUCUCUUCUCGCCAGCCCAACAGAAGUCUUCCCCACAGGGCACAACUAUUAUGAGUGACUACCUUGCACAACGGCAUGUGGCAGAAGUGAUGUCCAGGGUCUCCCGAG